CAUCUAACUCUCCCUCCCAGAGAGGGACUCCAGUGAGAGCCUGGGGUUUUGGAAGGUCAGGCAGGCCAGGGCUGCCCUGGAUUGCUGGCUGGGCAUAGAGUCAGUAUGCCCAUAGUGUCAAAGGAUAAAACAGGACCAGUAAUCAGCAACUUAGGAAGCUGCAUCAAAAGGACAAGCCAACUAUCCAAGCAGCGAUUUCAACCAUCGCUCACAGAAUGGAUGUUUCCUGCCCCUUGAGAAAGUAUCUAUAGCUUUCACAACCUCAAAAUGGAUCUUGUAGCCGGGCCGAGCUUCACGCCUGUGACGAUAAGGGUGUACCUAAAACCCCAGCGAUCUCAGUAACCUGGAUGUUGAAGCAGGAAGAUCAUGAGUUCGAGGGUAACCUCUGGCAUGUCAGCUGCCCGAGACUUUGACUCUUUUAAUAGACGUAAACACCACUGCUCUCAAACUAUUAAGUUGUUUUGUCCUCUCCCUUGCCUUUAACCACCAUAUAGCCAACCACUCCCUAAUCCACCCACAGCUCAUACCAGGGGAUAAUGAGACCUCAAAGGAACACGACAAUGUAAGAUUCAAAGAAAUGCUGAGAAUGAGAACAAGAAGAGACUGUACUGUAAACAUUUUAUGUCCAGCUCAGCCCUCCUUGAACCUGGGUCAGGAGCCUGGCAAGGUCAGGGGAAAAACUCGGAAAGAAUUGAGUGAAAUAAAGGCUGCGCGUGCAAAAUCGCUGGCUGCUAGUGGCGCAGGAGAGGAGCACUCAGCUCGUGGGUGGGGAUGGAAGAGAAUAGGAGAGAAACCACAGCACCUCAAUGUCCCUGGCAGCCGCUAGAGUCAGACUCCGCACGGUUCCUACAGCAGAAGCCAGAAACCCUGCCCUGCAGCCACGGUGCCUUUGACGGACAGCUACCUACAGCAAUCGCUUUCCAGUUCACUAUAAACAUCCUUACUCUUCCCGCCUUCCGCUGUCCUCCCAACCAUUCCAGGGAAUGGGCGGGAUUGUCCUUCGUG
ensembl:lncRNA